GCCUUCGUAGUGUAGCGGUCAGCACGCUGGGCGCGUAUUCCAGAGGUCCGUGGUUCGACUCCAGGCGAAGGCG
rfam:Stegodyphus mimosarum contig49545, whole genome shotgun sequence.